rnacentral:tRNA from 1 species
GGCGGCGUAGCUCAGAUGGCUAGAGCAUGCGGUUCAUACCCGCAGUGUCAGCGGUUCAAUUCCGUUCGCCGCUACCA